rnacentral:lncRNA from 1 species
GGCCGGCGCGCGUGGGGGACCGCGGGGACGAGCUCGCCCGCGCCGGCCGGGGUGACAGCUGCGCGCGCCUCGGCCAGAGAGAACUGAGGAGCCUGGGGAAGGCAGGUGCCAUGACUGAUGGACGCUGGAGAGCUGCAAUUAAUUUUAAACAAGGUUGCCUGGACUUGGAGAACAAGGGCAGGUCAUGGGUGAGGCUGGGCUGCCAAAGUCUCUGUUUGCCCAGGGAGGACCUGGUCCCUUGAGUACUCACAGCAGGGCCCCUGGGCUGAGUGCUCCUUGGAAAGAUAAAGAAGUGCAGGUGCCUGCCUCUGCUUGAGAUGCUUCGGUUGGCCUCGGAUGAGUGAGGGGUGGUGUCGAGGGGCACCAGAGCCAGCCCUUGGCCUCUGUGGUCCGUGCAGAGGACCAGCUGGUGUUCGGCAUGCCUGGGAUGAGGGGGAGGAAGAGGAAGGCUCCGCAGCUCUGAGUGGUGCGAAGUUCUGUCCUCCGCUGUCCCUCCUCUUUUUCCUCUACCUCCUCCCCUCCUCCUUCGCUCCUCCUCUUCUCCUCUACUUUAUUUUAGUUUUGGGUUCUUGAAGCGGGGUCUCAGUGUAGCCCUGCUGGCCUCCAGCCCCAUCCCUCUGCCUCCGUCUCCAAGUGCUUGAGUGAUUACGGGCCUGGGCCACCAUGCCGACCCUUCCCCACCUCUUCUGAUAGUUGACUUGAUUUUCCCUGGUUUGUUUUUCAUUUUUGUUUCUGUGUUUUUGUACUGACAAUUGAACUCGGCCCAGCACCUUUACACUAAGGUAUAUUCCCAGCUGUAAAAAAUUGUUUUUUAACUUUCAUCUUGAGACAGUCUCACUGGGCAGCUAAGUUACUGAAGAAGGCCGUGCUGGGAUUUACAGUCCUCUUGCCUCAGCCUCCUACAGCGCCGAGAUGACGGAUGUGCACCAUCACACCCGGCUGAGUUUCCCUUUCGUAGUCGCCUCUCAGCAGAGCUCACUGCAGUGGGAGCCGCUGUCAGGAAGCGAGACCCGGAGGCCGCUGCUGGGC